UUUAUUUAUUUAUUAUUUAUUUAUUUAUUUAUUUAUUUAUUUAUUUAUUUAUUUAUUUUCUUUUAGAGUGGUUUACUCUAUAGCACAGGCUGACCCAGAACUCACUAGGUAGCCAAGGCUGACCAUAAACUCAUAACAGUCUUUGUACCGCCAUCUCCCAAGCGGAAGGAUAAUGGUCAUGAACCAUCCUGUCUGGCAUCCUGGUAUAUUGGUUUUUUCUCUCAGAUUGGCCAGAGUUGAAGUGUUUGAUAGGAACUUGUUGGCUGCAAAUUCUGUAACUACAAAAUUCUGUAACUUUAUAAGGGACAAGUGGCAAUGUUUACUAAUAAAAUUAACACUGCAUUUCCUAUGGACCUGAAAGCUUAGGUCAGUGAUAGGCAUGAACUGCUUUCCCAUCGUCAUGGUAACCUUACUGGGUAACGUGAGGAUGUGUGAGUAAGACGGAAAAAUUGGCCUUGUAGCAAAUGUCUCCACAAGAGUCUUUAAGGAAGCCAAAUCUUAGCUACUGGUUCUUACCUCUGUCUAACCCGUCAGAUCAUACUCCAGUGUGCUUAGAAUCACUGGAAUGACAAUGUCACACAGCGAACUUGAAGACACAGGACACAUAUCACAUUGCCAGCCCCCAUAAGUUCUGACUGACUCAGUGGCCCAAAUCUUAGUUUUCUCCUCAUUCCAGGAGAUUUACAAACCAGUGGCUUAAAAAACAAAAUAAAAAAACAAAAACAAAUAAACAAACAACAAACCCGGUGUCUAACAGUUAAUUCUCCACAGAUAAUGUGCUCUGCCUUAAGGUUUUAUUGUGUUUUCUCUGUUAAUUUUCAGCAGUUUGUGAUGUGUGGGUAUGAUUUAUUCAGACAUAUUUGUGUAGGGUUGGCUAAGUACUUUAGUUUCCUAUGGUUACCAUUACAAAUUCCCACAAAUGAGGUGGUUUAAAACCACAGGUAAUUAUCUCAGUUAUGCAAGCAGGGUGUCUGGAUUUCAGUCUGACGAGCAUCUCACAGUAACUGCCCUCCGGCUCGUCCUCAUUUUGAGGACUUGGUAUUCCUUGGCUUGGCUGGUUUAUUGGCUAUUCUAAUUUUUGCCUCCCUCACUCGCUUUUUCUAAGAUCACUAUCCAUUGACUUGAAGCCUAAUCCUAUCAUCCAGGAGAAAAGCUUUAACUACAUGCACGGAGUCUUCUUUUCUAAAUAAGACAACACAGGUUCCAGGCAUUACGACUUGAACAUGCUUUGAGAGAUGGAUAGCAUUCGAUUUACUACAUGGGCCCUCUGGAAUCUAUGAGUUCAUGUCUUUCGCCAAACUACUUUUUUUUUUGGGGGGGGGGCUUACUUAUUCAUAUUUAUUUUCAGUGCUACACAGUUUGCUUUCCUGUUGGGACUCUGCCAGCAGUUGUUGGCUCUGUACCACCUCCUAAGUGUUUUAGGGCCGGCUAGUUAGUCUCUUUCACACUUGUUCAAAGUUGAGCAUGUCUCUGAUGUACAUUCAAGUUCACCAACUGUUCACAACGAAACUGAUUCUGAAUAUGUUACGAAUUUUCAGUUUUACAAAAUUCACUUCUGUAUGCUCUCUACUUGUUAGCUGACACUUUCUUUUUUUCUCCAUUUUAAAAAGUAUUACUGAGUGCUUGCAUCUUGGAAUAUUUGCACUAUAAUAGCUGCUUUAAAAUCUCCUUGGGAUAACUCCAGCAUCCAUGUCCUAGAUAUCCAUUUCUGUUUGCUGUUGACUUAAUAUAUUAAUUUUUUUCUGGUUCUUUAUAUAACUAGUCAUUUUGAAUUAUAUCCUUAGCAUCGUUUGAUUUUUAUUAGUAUAUGCUUGGUUUUGGAAAAAUGUCAUCGAUAAUGUUGAUACUUUGAUUUGAGUAAGCCAAGAACUUGGUUAGAGUCACUUCACAAUCUCAGCCUGCCUCUGUCUAUGGGGUUCGAAAGACAGCUGAAUUUUCCAAGCCUUGCAGUGCAUUUCAAAUCUGUCCCGCCAUGUACCACCUUGAAGUCAACCAGAAGUCUAGUAGCUGUUUGCGUCUGUGUUCUAGGUAUUUUGACAUCAUUAUGGAGACUGGAUUCGUGAACAUAUACGAGUCACUCUUAGGCGUUCAUAACAACCUUACAAGAAAGUUUUCCUGAAAUCUCUCACCUUGGUGGUGUUCCCCUUCUGUGUUCUCUGCUCAUCUGAUCCUCCUCUCACUGGAUCAUCAGUCCUCUGCCAAGCUUUCUCCAGAAGGAUGGCAGGAGGGAAAGAAACACCCACCCCCACCUACUACUCCAUGCUGUUGAAGCCAUAGCUCUGUCCAUUGGAGAGGAAGUUUCCCGAAUUUGAGAGUUUAAUCUCCUAUCAGUCCAUGUUGCCUCUGGAGCCAGGGCAGUCACUAGGCUUGGCUAUGUUUGGAAUGUAAAGGUGGGUCAGAGGCAGCUAGGGGAGUCUUUUUUGCUCCCUGCAUGCAAAUAGAUGCUUUUUUUCCCCCCAGUACUGUAUCUUUUAUGUCUGUAUCUGGGGUUCAGGUUGCAUCCAAGUCUAGAGGAUACC
rnacentral:lncRNA from 1 species